AUGAACGCUGGCGGCGUGCCUAAUACAUGCAAGUCGAGCGAACGGACGAGAAGCUUGCUUCUCUGAUGUUAGCGGCGGACGGGUGAGUAACACGUGGAUAACCUACCUAUAAGACUGGGAUAACUUCGGGAAACCGGAGCUAAUACCGGAUAAUAUUUUGAACCGCAUGGUUCAAAAGUGAAAGACGGUCUUGCUGUCACUUAUAGAUGGAUCCGCGCUGCAUUAGCUAGUUGGUAAGGUAGCGGCUUACCAAGGCAACGAUGCAUAGCCGACCUGAGGGUGAUCGGCCACACUGGAACUGAGACACGGUCCAGACUCCUACGGGAGGCAGCAGUAGGGAAUCUUCCGCAAUGGGCGAAAGCCUGACGGAGCAACGCCGCGUGAGUGAUGAAGGUCUUCGGAUCGUAAAACUCUGUUAUUAGGGAAGAACAUAUGUGUAAGUAACUGUGCACAUCUUGACGGUACCUAAUCAGAAAGCCACGGCUAACUACGUG
rnacentral:rRNA from 1 species